GGCAUAUGUGGAAAGCUCCAUGUUUAAGCCCAGGAUGGAUCAAAAUUAUUAGCCAAAUAGGGCUAAUACUUACAAUUCUGAUCAUACUAUGGAUUUAUGUACUUAAUUCUAUUUACAGUGCUAAAAUUAUUACAUGAUUCAAAAGAUUACAAAUCUCUUCAUAGGAAAAUGCAAGGGCACCCCUCAUGAUUUUUCAAGCGGUCGCCAAGCAAAGGUGCAGAAGAGCAGGAAGCUUAGCAGGUAAAAAGCAAAGUUAAUUUGCUGCUGUUCCAGAAUAAAGUUAAGAGUGUUUAGAAAUCCAGAAUGAAUCCGUAAAGAGUAAAACCCAGAAUUAAAUGAGGGAAGUGUUAAAAUUAUAGUUCAAGUAAACCAAGAUAAGUAUGGCCUGAGUUUGGUAACAAGUUUCGUGUGUACUGUGUGUAUAAGUCAUAUUAUGAAGUAUGGUAGCAUUUAUGCUCUUUUCCAUCAGGUGCUAAAUAGAUUUAAGACGACAGGGUUCUACUGAACAGACGUUCGCAAAUUACGGAGUAUGCAAUGCUUUUCUAUUUCCCUAAACUCCCAAAUCUGGCAUAAUCCUUGUUAAGUCUGAAGAGAGAGGGACAUCCUCUAUUGCCACAGAGUUCAUCAAAAAGUCUUGAGGCCACUUCAUGGAAAAGUCACGGAUAUUGGAGUGAAGAGAC